GCAGGUGAGUUAUACUGUCAGUGGCGUAGGAGGUGAAAGGGGUGUAACUGUAGCAGAGGUAAGCUGCAGGUGAGUUAUACUGUGGGGUGUGACUGUAGCAGAGGUAAGCUGCAGGUGAGUUCUACUGUGGGGUGUGACUGUAGCAGAGGUAAGCUGCAGGUGAGUUCUAGUAGCCUCUGAUGUCAUCCCCCCCGAGACUUAGUGUCUCCGGUCUGUCAUGAAUGUAUCUACAGUAUAUUUUAAUACCGUAAGCAUCUCAGCUGCG
rnacentral:lncRNA from 1 species